GGAUGUACAGCAAACAAUCUGUUUUCAGGAAACAGAGGAUCUGAACUUAAGAGUUGCACACUGAGCAGAGAAAAUGCAGGCAGAGAGAUGCUCAGGUGUAUUCGGAAACAUGUAGGCAAAUCUAUCUAUAUAUACAUAUAUAUAAAUAUAUACAGGGUCUUCAUGCAGAGCUAAAAAUUAUUCAAAGUCCAAUCCGCAGGCAGAAAAAUAGAUAUAUGUAUAUAAAAAUAACGGUUAAAAACAGUGAGGGAGAACUCAUUCUCUUCACCACCUCUCCUGGCUUAUAGAAAAAAAAUAAAUGAAAAUGAAAAAUAAAAAAAAAAAGGAUCAGGGGUCUGGAGGUGUGGACCCACUCC